rnacentral:lncRNA from 1 species
CAAAAACGAAUUAAGCAAUGCACAAUUAAUAUCGUAAUAAACAAUGUACAUAAUAAUAUCAAAUGGGGGAACACCAAAUCAAGUACAAAAACCCAGUAAAAAUAGUUUUAUUUAAGUUUCAAGACCAACUCAAAUUCAUCGGUAUGACACAUAUGUAACCCUGAAACCCAAAGAUAACCGCAAUAAGAUAUGAACCUAGCAAACCCGGAAAAAAAAUCAAAAAAUAGAAAGAAGAGAGAAAGAUACACAGAUUACAUUGUAUAUUUAGUGUAACAACAAGAACCCUAGAACGGUGAAGGUGCUAUCUUAUCCAACAAGCUGGGUGAAGGUGCUAUGUUGCCAAGGAAGGGUCUUCCAGGCUUGCACAGUGCUCCAUAGAAGCUUGGCUCACAAGAUUCCUGAAGGUGAUUUAUGUGAAUAAUCUUGAACCUCUGGAUGGGACCAAGACCCAACAGCAGGCAAACUAUUACCGUCAGUAGUAUAGUGCAACAAAUGCACGAGCAAACCCUAGCAAUGCACCCGGGGCAACACAUCUUUGCUUGAUUUCUUUUGUUUCUCCUUCUCUUCUUUUCUGAAGAUUUGGAUCCAAAAAGAGAGAAGAGGGUUUCUCUCUCUCUCUCUCUCUGUGUUUUUGUAUUUGGCCAGGCAAAAGAUUUCGAUCUUUUUCCCACUGGCCAGACGAAUUUUUUUUCUUCCUAGAGAUCUUGGAAUUCCCUUGAGUUGGGGAACGCAAACGGUUUAGCGAUGUGUUUUUUGUUUUAAAGGGCACACUGGAUGUAAAAUUUAGUAAAUUUUCAUAUAAUACGCGGACGUCAAUCGGGUUUUUCGAAAUCGGUUGACGAGUA